rnacentral:rRNA from 1 species
UCCUGGCUCAGGACGAACGCUGGCUGCGUGCUUAACACAUGCUAGUCGAACGGGAAACUUUAUUUCUGUAAAGGAUUCUAGUGGCAAACGGGUGUGUAACGCGUAAGCAACCUGCCCUUAUGAUGGGGACAACGGCCCGAAAGGACCGCUAAUACCGAAUGCACUCUAACUUUCCUCAUCGGAAGAAAGUGGUGAGAUGGUGCAAGCCAUCUCCUAACGAAGGGCCUGCGUCUGUUUAGCCAGUUGGUGAGGUAACGGCUCACCAAAGCGACGAUCAGUAUCCGGUCUGAGAUGAUGAACGGCCACAAUGGGACUGAGACACGGCCCAUACUCCUACGGGAGGCAGCAGUGGGGAAUCUUCCGCAAUGGGCGAAAGCCUGACGGAUCAACGCCGCGUGAGUGAAGAAUGUCUUCGGAUCGUAAAGCUCUGUUGUCGGGGACGAAAGGGAAGGGGAGGAAAUGCCCUUUUUAAGACGGUACCCGACGAGCAAGCCACGGCUAACUACGUGCCAGCAGCCGCGGUAAUACGUAUGUGGCGAGCGUUGUCCGGAAUGAUUGGGCGUAAAGGGAGCGCACGUGGGACGGUAAGUCCUCUUAAAAAGCGUGGGGCUCACCCCCAUGAAGGGAAGGAAACUAUCGAUCUUGAGUGCCGGAGAGGAAAGCGGAAUUCCCAGUGUAGCGGUGAAAUGCGUAGAUAUUGGGAAGAACACCAGUGGCGAAGGCGGCUUUCUGGACGGCAACUGACACUGAGGCUCGAAAGCCAGGGGAGCGAACGGGAUUAGAUACCCCGGUAGUCCUGGCCGUAAACGAUGGAUACUAGGUGUAGGAGGUAUCGACCCCUUCUGUGCCGGAGUUAACGCAAUAAGUAUCCCGCCUGGGGAGUACGGUCGCAAGACUGAAACUCAAAGGAAUUGACGGGGGCCCGCACAAGCGGUGGAGUCUGUGGUCUAAUUCGACGCAACGCGAAGAACUUUCCCAGGGCUUGACAUUGAGUGAAAGGGCACCAGAUUGUCCCAUUAUCUUCGGAUAACACGAAAACAGGUGGUGCAUGGCUGUUGUCAGCUCGUGUCGUGAGAUGUUGGGUUAAGUCCCGCAACGAGCGCAACCCCUAUGUUAUGUUUCCAGCGCGCAAAGGCGGGCACUCAGAAGAGACUGCCGCGGAGAACGCGGAGGAAGGCGGGGAUGACGUCACGUCAUCAUGCCCCUUAUGACCUGGGCUACACACGUACUCCAAUGGGAUGUACAGAGGGCAGCGAACGGGCGACCGGAAGCGAACCCCAGAAAACAUCUCCCAGUUCGGAUUGCAGGCUGAAACCCGCCUGCAUGAAGAUGGAAUCGCUAGUAAUCGCAGGUCAGCAUACUGCGGUGAAUACGUUCCCGGGCCUUGUACACACCGCCCGUC